UCCGUAGGUGAACCUGCGGAGGGAUCAUUACCGAGUUUACAACUCCCAAACCCCUGUGAACAUACCAAUUGUUGCCUCGGCGGAUCAGCCCGCUCCCGGUAAAACGGGACGGCCCGCCAGAGGACCCCUAAACUCUGUUUCUAUAUGUAACUUCUGAGUAAAACCAUAAAUAAAUCAAAACUUUCAACAACGGAUCUCUUGGUUCUGGCAUCGAUGAAGAACGCAGCAAAAUGCGAUAAGUAAUGUGAAUUGCAGAAUUCAGUGAAUCAUCGAAUCUUUGAACGCACAUUGCGCCCGCCAGUAUUCUGGCGGGCAUGCCUGUUCGAGCGUCAUUUCAACCCUCAAGCCCAGCUUGGUGUUGGGACUCGCGAGUCAAAUCGCGUUCCCCAAAUUGAUUGGCGGUCACGUCGAGCUUCCAUAGCGUAGUAGUAAAACCCUCGUUACUGGUAAUCGUCGCGGCCACGCCGUUAAACCCCAACUUCUGAAUGUUGACCUCGGAUCAGGUAGGAAUACCCGCUGAACUUAAGCAUAUCAAUAAGCGGAGGA
rnacentral:rRNA from 6 species